UACGAAGGGGGCUAGCGUUGCUCGGAAUUACUGGGCGUAAAGGGCGCGUAGGCGGGUCUUUAAGUCAGGGGGUGAAAUCCUGGAGCUCAACUCCAGAACUGCCUUUGAUACUGAAGAUCUUGAGUUCGGGAGAGGUGAGUGGAACUGCGAGUGUAGAGGUGAAAUUCGUAGAUAUUCGCAAGAACACCAGUGGCGAAGGCGGCUCACUGGCCCGGUACUGACGCUGAGGUGCGAAAGCGUGGGGAGCAAACAGG
rnacentral:rRNA from 1 species